GACGUAGGGCGCGAGCGUUGUCCGGAAUCAUUGGGCGUAAAGAGCGCGUAGGCGGUCCGGUAAGUCCGCUCUGAAAGUCCGGGGCUCAACCCCGGGAGGCGGGCGGAUACUGUCGGGCUAGAGUCCGGAAGAGGCGAGUGGAAUUCCUGGUGUAGCGGUGAAAUGCGCAGAUAUCAGGAGGAACACCAAUGGCGAAGGCAGCUCGCUGGGACGGUACUGACGCUGAGGCGCGAAAGCGUGGGGAGCAAACAGG
rnacentral:rRNA from 1 species